ensembl:snRNA U1 U1 spliceosomal RNA
AUACUUACCUGGCAGGGGCGAUACCAUGAUCACGAAGGUGGUUCACCCAGGGCGAGGCUCUGCCAUUGCACUUGGGUGGUGCUGACCCUUGCGAAUUCCCCAAAUGCGGGAAUCUCGACUGCAUAAUUUCUGGUAGUGGGGGACUGCGUUUGCGCUCUCCCCUG